CUGAAUUUAAUUACAAAGCAAUGCUCUAAGGACAAUCAUAACCCUGACCCUAUUCACUUUCCGUAUCUAUAGUGACAAACAAGCAGAUGAGCUGACCUCAUGGGGAGACCCUCUUGAACUUGGUAGACUGAACAACUGCCAUACCCUGCAAAGCAGAGAGAAGACCUGAAGAUCUCAGAGUGAUGGACAGACCCCCUUCACCUCCAAGCCUUUCAAGGUGAUUCUCCAUGAGACCCGACUGCAUUUUAUCAUGAUGAGCACAUCGUACAUCCUCCUAGCAAGGCUCGUGGCCUUGAGCUGUGCGUGGAGUAGGCUUUCUGUUGCUCACAACCACAGACUUGGGCUGACCAAAGACCACUUAACAGAAUCCCCAAGAUGAGACAUGAGAAUCCCUUUUGUGAGUUGUUCAUCAGGGCUGUCCAAGAGACUCCCAAAAUACACAGCCUAUUGCUUUGGUCCUUGGUUACCCCCAGAGGUAGAAGGUAAGCUUCUAUUGCUGAAAGCACUACAUACUUCAGACAGAGUCUGGAGUCCCCUGAGCUGGAACUGACCUGAAUGUCCCCUCUGUGUGGACUAGUUUUCAUGGUUCCAGAAAGUACCAUGAAGAACUUCAAAGGAGAGGGCCACUAACAGUCCUAUCUGGCGACAGCACCUAUAAACUACAUCAACCACUAGCAAGCCUAAGUGUGCAAUAGUGGCCCACAUACCUUGGCAGUAACCAACAGCUCUUUAACUGGACUUGAAGAUCCACCGCACCCAACAAGAGGGAAAGCACACCUAGUACUGGAAAUCGACCUAACUACUCAGUCCUUGUGAAGCCAUGAUUAUUAGAGGAGAGUAUCCAAUCACUAUUUACUAAGACAGCAUAAUCCCUAACAACAAUAACCUAUAAACAUUUCUCCUAACACCCACUGAUGAGCGUAGAUCACUCCUCAUCCAAAAAAAAAACAAAACCUUGAAACAGAUGGAGACCACUCCAGAAAGCCACACUAAUUACAAUGCACUUCUGCAGCCCAGUCCCAGUGGCUCAGUCUAUAAAACACUCCCGCACCCUGCACGAAAGGUUCAGGGACCAGUGCAGAAGAGGGAGCAGAAAGUUCGUAAGAGCCAAAGGAUGGAGGAGUUUGCUGUGAGACUGUGUCUCCUGGUGACAUCAGAAGACUGUAAAGCCUCACCAACGAGACCGCAUAAAUGUGAACUGAACAGAGAUGACACCAACAGACACGCCAGCCUAGACGGAUAAAAGCC